AUGCGUACAUUGCUCUUGCCAAACCGUCAUACUUGCAAUCUUAUUCUCUGGAAUGAGGACUACAUGAAGGUGGACGGCAUCCACGUUGGCACAUUUUGCAUCUCUGCGAACAUUUGUAUCGUCAAUACUCCCAUCUCCUUCAAACUCACUUCAGUCUAUGGGCCUACGAGAAGUAAUCUGAAAGACUCUUUCUUCCAAGAGCUUGUGAGCCUCAAACCUGCACAGGGUACUAGAUGGCUAGUGACAGGAGACUUCAACCAAGUUUAUCGUGCUCGGGACAAAAACCGUGCAAAUGUGGACCGCACUCGCUUAGUUCGCUUUCGAAACGCCAUUAACUCAUGUGAGCUGAAACAAAUCCAUCUACAAAACAGAAAGUUCACUUGGAGCAACGAGCAGACUAACCCGACUUUGAGAAAAUUAGACUCUUUUUUCUGCAAUGAGGAUUGGGACCUAGAUUUCGGCACACACAUUCUCCAUGCCCUGUCGUCCUCGCUCUCGGACCAUUGCCCGCUCCUGUUGGCUAGUGACAAGGGGCCAAAACGGCCAAAAUCUUUCCGUUUUGAAAACUUCUGGACUAAAAUGCCUAACUUCAAGAAGAUCGUCCAGGAUGCCUAGAAUGAGGAAACCACCCACUCUGAGCCCUAUCAGGUGCUUUUUCACAAGCUCAAGAGAACAAGUCAAUGUCUCCGCAAGUGGAGCAGGUCCAUUUUCUUAAACCACAAAAUCCAGCUUCACAUGGCCCUUGAGAUCAUCCUCCGUCUCGACAUUGCGCAGGAACAAAGGACACUGUCAAUGGGUGAACGGAACCUAAGAAAGGAUCUUAAGAGAAAGUUUGUGGCCUUGGCGGUUCUCGAGCGGGCAAGGAAAAGGCAAAGCUCGAGAAUUAAGUUACUCAAAGAAGGGGAUGCAAACACUCGUUUUUUUCACCUUCGAAUCAAUCAUCGACGGAGAAAGAACUUCAUCCACCGUCUUAAGCACAAUAAUGGCUGGGUCACGAGCCAUGAUCACAAGAAAGAAAUUAUUCAGAGCCACUUUAGGAAAGCCUUUGGGAAGGCCCCCCCGCGCUCCAAGGACUUCAACUGGGCCUGCAUCCCGUCGUCUUCCUGCGACCUCUUGGACCUUGGGACCCCAUUCACCGAAGAGGAGGUCCGUGCUGCGAUCCAAGAGCUCCCAGGAGACAAAGCUCCGGGCCCGGACAGAUUCACUGGAGUUUUCUUCAAAGAAUGUUGGGACAUCCUUAAUACGGAGAUUAUGCUUGUGAUCAAUAAUUUCUCCAAUCUGCAUGUGAACAAUCUCCAUUGGCUCAACUCAGCCAACAUUGCCCUCAUCCCAAAAAACGAUGGGGCUGAGGACAUCUCCGAUUUUCGGCCUAUUGCUACCUCUUGA
rnacentral:rRNA from 1 species